rnacentral:rRNA from 1 species
GAUGAACGCUGGCGGCGUGCCUAAUACAUGCAAGUCGAGCGAACAGACGAGGAGCUUGCUCCUCUGACGUUAGCGGCGGACGGGUGAGUAACACGUGGAUAACCUACCUAUAAGACUGGGAUAACUUCGGGAAACCGGAGCUAAUACCGGAUAAUAUAUUGAACCGCAUGGUUCAAUAGUGAAAGACGGUUUUGCUGUCACUUAUAGAUGGAUCCGCGCCGCAUUAGCUAGUUGGUAAGGUAACGGCUUACCAAGGCAACGAUGCGUAGCCGACCUGAGAGGGUGAUCGGCCACCUUAGAACUUAGCCACGGUCCAGACUCCUGCGGGAGGCAGCAGUAGGGAAUCUUCCGCAAUGGGCGAAAGCCUGACGGAGCAACGCCGCGUGAGUGAUGAAGGUCUUCGGAUCGUAAAACUCUGUUAUUAGUGAAGAACAAAUGUGUAAGUAACUAUGCACGUCUUGACGGUACCUAAUCAGAAAGCCACGGCUAACUACGUG